rnacentral:rRNA from 1 species
CCUACGGGUGGCAGCAGUAGGGAAUAUUGCGCAAUGGGGGAAACCCUGAAGCAGCAACGCCGCGUGGAGGAUGAAGGUUUUCGGAUUGUAAACUCCUUUUGUUAGAGAAGAAAAUGACGGUAUCUAACGAAUAAGCACCGGCUAAAGCCGUGCCAGCAGCCGCGGUAAUACGGAGGGUGCAAGCGUUACUCGGAAUCACUGGGCGUAAAGAGCGCGUAGGCGGGAUAGCAAGUCAGAUGUGAAAUCCUAUGGCUUAACCAUAGUACUGCAUUUGAGACUGUUAUUCUAGAAUAUGGGAGAGGUAGAUGGAAUUCUUGGUGUAGGGGUAAAAUCCGUAGAGAUCAAGAGGAAUACGCAUUGCGAAGGCGACCUGCUAGAACAUAACUGACGCUGAGGCGCGAAAGCGAGGGGAGCAAACAGGAUUAGAUACCCUGGUAGUC